CAGGGAGGUACCUGCAGUCGAGGGGCAUCGGGAGGGAGCUUGCUUUCCUUGCCGGCGACCGGCGCACGGGUGAGUAACACGUAUGCAACCUGCCCUCUUCAGGGGGGCAACCUUCCGAAAGGGAGGCUAAUCCCGCGUAUAUCGGUUUCGGGCAUCCGGGAUCGAGGAAAGAUUCAUCGGAAGAGGAUGGGCAUGCGGCGCAUUAGCUUGACGGCGGGGCAACGGCCCACCGUGGCGACGAUGCGUAGGGGUUCUGAGAGGAAGGUCCCCCACACUGGUACUGAGACACGGACCAGACUCCUACGGGAGGCAGCAGUGAGGAAUAUUGGUCAAUGGGAGAGAUCCUGAACCAGCCAAGCCGCGUGAGGGAAGACGGCCCUAUGGGUUGUAAACCUCUUUUGUCGGAGAACAAAACCCGGGACGUGUCCCGGACUGCGUGUAUCCGAAGAAAAAGCAUCGGCUAACUCCGUGCCAGCAGCCGCGGUAAUACGGAGGAUGCGAGCGUUAUCCGGAUUUAUUGGAUUUAAAGGGUGCCUAUCCGUUCCGUUAAGUCAUGAGUAAGAUUGCGGAGGCUCACCCCGCCCUAGGGUAGACGCCGACACCAUUGGGUCGCCGAGAGACGCGCGCACUGACGCGUGGACGGUGAUGGCAAAUAAGGCAUAGCUGACUCGGCGUGUGAGGCGCAAUGGAUAGAUAUAGGGGCGCGGCGACGGGGGGAAACUGCGGGACUACUGAUCGCCACUGGGUGCAGAGGGCUCGACGGAGUGACCGGGGUACGGGGAUUAGAUGCCAUGGGGAGA
rnacentral:rRNA from 1 species